AUUGAACGCUGGCGGCAGGCCUAACACAUGCAAGUCGAGCGGAUGACGGGAGCUUGCUCCUUGAUUCAGCGGCGGACGGGUGAGUAAUGCCUAGGAAUCUGCCUGGUAGUGGGGGACAACGUUUCGAAAGGAACGCUAAUACCGCAUACGUCCUACGGGAGAAAGCAGGGGACCUUCGGGCCUUGCGCUAUCAGAUGAGCCUAGGUCGGAUUAGCUAGUUGGUGGGGUAAUGGCUCACCAAGGCGACGAUCCGUAACUGGUCUGAGAGGAUGAUGAGUCACACUGGAGCUGAGACACGGUCCAGACUCCUACGGGAGGCAGCAGUGGGGAAUAUUGGACAAUGGGCGAAAGCCUGAUCCAGCCAUGCCGCGUGUGUGAAGAAGGUCUUCGGAUUGUAAAGCACUUUAAGUUGGGAGGAAGGGCAGUAAGCUAAUACCUUGCUGUUUUGACGUUACCGACAGAAUAAGCACCGGCUAACUCUGUGCCAGCCGCCGCCGUAA
rnacentral:rRNA from 1 species